ACUCUUGCCCAACAAAGGCUCUAUUCCCAUCACUGGUCUGGACAACACAGAGUCAACAUGACAAUGACUGCCCUCCUGCUCCUGGUGAUGAUCGCUCACUGCAUCGCUGUGCCUAUCCCCGGCGACGAGACGGACGAGAGGCUACAAGCAGAGAAAUUACUCGGCCGUUUCUACAAUCCCCCCUCUCGUCGCCCCGUUCGUCUGCUUGGAGCAAGGAAAUCUUCAGACGUUCUGCUGACCAAACUAAAGGAGAUGCAGGCUUCCUUCAACUUAACGGUACCUUGUAUUUAUUCGGUUUAUUAGGUUUGAGUACAGCUACAGGUCAAGGAAGGUCAUUUCUAUUGUUAGAGCCAACUCCAUUCUCAACUGCUGACAACGUUAAGAGAAUCUCCCUGCCUUCUUGAGAAACCAUUUGUUAAAUGCAAAAAUAUGAUAUACAAUAGUUGAAAGGGGGGAUAUUUUUAAUUUGAUUGUUUUUUUGUGCUGGACACUUAUAAUGUCAAUGUUGUCAGACACAGAAUUCUGGUCAAUUCUACGACUGCUGAAUGCUUUUUAGCUAUUUAUUUCUUUCAGAUCUUUUAAAAUGUUUUAAUAUAUAUAUCUAUAUAUAUCUAUAUAGAUACAUAUAUCUGUCUAUAUAUAUAUAUAAUAAUAAUAAUUAUAAUAAUAAUCUUUAUUUAUAAAGCGCUUUUCUAAACAGAGUUACAAAGUGCUUUGCAGAAAAAAGAAUAUACCCCUAUAUAUAUACCCUGCUGUGACAUUCGUGCUAAGGAAGAUUGUUUUUAAUAUGUAUGUUUCCUGGAAAAAGGUAACACAAAAUAAAGGUACAAAACAAAUGAUGUGUGCUUUGUAUAAAUUAGUUAGAAAAUAGAAACAAGAACUUAGUACUUUAAAAACACUUUUUAGGCAAUCUUGAAUAUUGUGUUUGAAUACAUUAUUCUGCAGUCAUCAAGGUCGACAAAUUAUAAGGUUCUAAAUAAUCCUAGUGUUUGAGUGUGUUGUGCCAAGGAGUAAAAUGUUAGACACGCACAACUCUUUCGAUAGAAUGUUUUUAAUUUUCCAAAGACUGCCUCAUUGGUUCCUGCCAGAACUGCCAAUUCAGGGAAACAAAAAUAUAUAUUAUAUCUAACAUGAUAGCCUGUAAUGAUUAUUUUGAUCCUGAGGUAAUGAUGCGGGCGUUUGCUAAGAUGUGUUACUUAAUGUACCCCACUAGGUGGCAAUCUUCUUAAGUAUUUCAGAUUGAGUCAGCAGAAACUCCAUUUAGCCCACACUGUACCUCCACCUAAGAGAUUGUAAUUUUUUCUAAUAAACAUUGUUAUGAGAUACAAUUGUUGACUCCA